rnacentral:rRNA from 1 species
CAGGUGUAGCAAUACAUGCUGACGAGCGGCGAACGGGUGAGUAAUGCUUUGGAAUCUUCCCAGUAGUGGGGAAUAACCAGUCGAAAGAUUGGCUAAUACCGCAUACGUCUGUAAAGGGAAAGCGGGGGCUCGUAAGACCUCGCGCUAUUGGAUGAGCCAAAGUCGGAUUAGCUAGUUGGUGGGGUAAUGGCCUACCAAGGCGACAAUCCGUAGCUGGUCUGAGAGGACGACCAGCCACACCGGAACUGAGACACGGUCCGGACUCCUACGGGAGGCAGCAGUGGGGAAUAUUGGACAAUGGGGGAAACCCUGAUCCAGCGACGCCGCGUGUGUGAAGAAGGCCUGCGGGUUGUAAAGCACUUUUAGUGGAGACAAAAAGCUACGGAUUAAUACUCUGUGGUCUCGAUUUAACCCAAAGAAAAAGCACCGGCUAACUCUGUGCCAGCAGCCGCGGUAAUACAGAGGGUGCGAGCGUUAAUCGGAAUUACUGGGCGUAAAGCGCGCGUAGACGGUUUUGUAAGUCAGAUGUGAAAUCCCUGGGCUCAACCUGGGAAACUGCAUUUGAGACUGCAUGGCUAGAGUAUCGAAGAGGGAAGUGGAAUUUCCGGUGUAGCGGUG